rnacentral:rRNA from 1 species
CCUACGGGAGGCAGCAGUGAGGAAUAUUGGUCAAUGGGCGCGAGCCUGAACCAGCCAAGUAGCGUGAAGGAUGACGGCCCUAUGGGUUGUAAACUUCUGUUAUAAAGGAGUAAAACGAGGCACGUGUGACUUUUUGCAUGUACUUUAUGAAUAAGGAUCGGCUAACUCCGUGCCAGCAGCCGCGGUAAUACGGAGGAUCCGAGCGUUAUCCGGAUUUAUUGGGUUUAAAGGGAGCGUAGAUGGGUUGUUAAGUCAGUUGUGAAAGUUUGCGGCUCAACCGUCAAAUUGCCUUGGAUACUGGCAGUCUUGAGUACACUUGAGGUAGGCGGAAUUCGUGUUGUUGCGG